rnacentral:rRNA from 1 species
AUGCAAGUCGAGCGGUAACAGGGGUAGCUUGCUACCCGCUGACGAGCGGCGGACGGGUGAGUAAUGCAUAGGAAUCUGCCCGGUAGUGGGGGAUAACCUGGGGAAACCCAGGCUAAUACCGCAUACGUCCUACGGGAGAAAGGGGGCUCCGGCUCCCGCUAUUGGAUGAGCCUAUGUCGGAUUAGCUAGUUGGUAAGGUAAUGGCUCACCAAGGCGACAAUCCGUAGCUGGUCUGAGAGGAUGAUCAGCCACAUCGGGACUGAGACACGGCCCGAACUCCUACGGGAGGCAGCAGUGGGGAAUAUUGGACAAUGGGCGAAAGCCUGAUCCAGCCAUGCCGCGUGUGUGAAGAAGGCCCUCGGGUUGUAAAGCACUUUCAGCGAGGAAGAACGCCUAGUGGUUAAUACCCAUUAGGAAAGACAUCACUCGCAGAAGAAGCACCGGCUAACUCCGUGCCAGCAGCCGCGGUAAUCGGGAGGGUGCAAGCGUUAAUCGGAAUUACUGGGCGUAAAGCGCGCGUAGGUGGCUUGAUAAGCCGGUUGUGAAAGCCCCGGGCUCAACCUGGGAACGGCAUCCGGAACUGUCAAGCUAGAGUGCAGGAGAGGAAGGUAGAAUUCCCGGUGUAGCGGUGAAAUGCGUAGAGAUAGGAGGAAUACCAGUGGCGAAGGCGGCCUUCUGGACUGACACUGACACUGAGGUGCGAAAGCGUGGGUAGCAAACAGGAUUAGAUACCCUGGUAGUCCACGCCGUAAACGAUGUCGACCAGCCGUUGGGUGCCUAGCGCACUUUGUGGCGAAGUUAACGCGAUAAG